rnacentral:rRNA from 1 species
UACGUAGGGUGCGAGCGUUAAUCGGAAUUACUGGGCGUAAAGCGUGCGUAGACGGUUCUGUAAGUCGGAUGUGAAAUCCCCGGGCUCAACCUGGGAAUUGCAUUCGAGACUGCAAAGCUUGGGUGCGUAAGAGGGAAGCGGAAUUUCCGGUGUAGCGGUGAAAUGCGUAGAUAUCGGAAGGAACAUCAGUGGCGAAAGCGGCUUCCUGGUCCAGCACCGACGUUCAGGCACGAAAGCGUGGGGAGCAAACAGG